rnacentral:lncRNA from 1 species
CAGAUCUUUCCAACAACGGCAAGAGACACCUUCCCCCACCUGCUUUCGUGGCAGACUGGAUGCUGAAAGAGCUGCCUUCUCCCCCUGUCACAAAGUGGAUUGCAUGGGAACAAGGAAAUUGUCCUGCUGUAAGGACUUCUCAGACAGCACUGCUUUACGCUAAUGAACUUCCAUUUUUAACUCUAUUUCUUCGGCAUCUACAUGGAGAACAGGGAAGAAGCAGGUGAAACUGGAACAUGGUAUGUUGGGCUCCACCAGAACUGGGCUGCCAGAUCUUCCAGAUCCAUUCUCACCUGUCAGCAGCUCUCAGAUGGACAAUUGGUCUUGGGACACUCAGAGACCCUAGCCCCCUAAUUUGAGGGUGGGAUUAGGUCUUCAUAGCAUAUAGUUAUUACAGUUUGUUGAAUGUUAGAAAGAAACAAAGACAACAGAAUGGGUUGAGGGAAGAGGAACUCAAAUUUAUGUGAUCAAGAUGUCACUAGCUUUAGUAGAACAAAACUUCUGUGCAUGGAUUUUCUCAGUCUGCCUGGAGUGGUUCAAUUUUGUCCUCAACACCAUAAGAAUCAAAGUUUGCCAUUACCGCAAGCAAUCUAGACAACAGGAAGCAGAUAAUGGGACAUUUCUGUCUUCACUAAAGAGGGCUCACAUUAAAUUGCUUGUAGGUCUUUGGAAAGGUCAGUCAAAGCUUAAGCAGCCCCCUGUUGUUUGACAACAUCAGAGCUCAAACACUGUGGUCCUGGA